rnacentral:rRNA from 1 species
UGGGGAAUUUUCCGCAAUGGGCGAAAGCCUGACGGAGCAAUACCGCGUGAGGGAGGAAUGCUCUUGGGUUGUAAACCUCUUUUCUGGGGGAAGAAGUCCUGACGGUACCCCAGGAGUCAGCAUCGGCUAACUCCGUGCCAGCAGCCGCAGUAAUACGGAGGAUGCAAGCGUUAUCCGGAAUUAUUGGGCGUAAAGCGUCCGCAGGUGGAGCGUUAAGUCUGCUGUCAAAGACCGGAGCUUAACUCCGGGCAGGCAGUGGAAAGUGGCGAACUAGAGUACGGUAGGGGUAGAGGGAAUUCCCAGUGUAGCGGUGAAAUGCGUAGAGAUUGGGAAGAACACCAGUGGCGAAGGCGCUCUACUGGGCCGUAACUGACACUCAGGGACGAAAGCUAGGGGAGCGAAAGGGAUUAGAUACCCCGGUAGUCC